rnacentral:lncRNA from 1 species
AGAUGAGCGAUUCAGGCUCUUGAGAGUCUCUUGUUAUCUUGUCCUUUAAUUAAGAAACACUGCAUAGUUUGGUAAAAAACAAUAACUUUAAUAUUUAACGUAGCAUUUCAAGAUUAAUCUGCCUUUAAAAUUAAGACCAAUCUUGAAAACCCUUGGCUAUUUGAAGUUAUUGCUCCUGCAAUAGCAAGUUCCCACAAUUUAUACAUGUUAUAUAUAUAUGUUCUUG